AGGUAUCCGUUGACGGGGUAUGAAUAGCCUGGGGAUUUCGUGUAAGCCGUUCUGAAGGGAGCGGACCGUACGUGGAGAGACGUGCGAUACUGAAAUAUAAUUUAUGACAGCCUGCAGCCUGAAAGCCACAUGGAAAAGGGAAGAAUGAAGUGGGCUUAAUUGAGGCUGAUCUUGAGCCCUGAUAAGCAGAGACCUGCUGCAGUAGCACGUGAAGCUGGGUGUUUAGACCCCUCUGACUGUACACACAGAAAUGACUGACGGCAUCCCGGCUGUCUGCUCACAUGCUGAAAUGACCCCAAUCUCCAUCCUGAUCUCCAUACUGUGGCUGACAGUGUGUGAGGAGCAGGAGAGAGAUCUCUACUCAGUUCACUGUAAUGAGUGACACUCACCUGUGAGCCCAGCGAUGAGAAGAAACAGGAGCAUCAGAGGAUCCAUACGUGUGUGUGUCACUGAGCCCAGAUCUGUGGAGACUGACUCUCACUUCCUCAUCCUCUGUACCUUC